GCCGGGCAGUGGUGGCGCGUGCCUUUAAUCCUAGCACUUGGGAGGCAGAGGCAGGCGUAUUUCUGAGUUCGAGGCCAGCCUGGUCUACAGAGUGAGUUCCAGGACAGCCAGAGCUACACAGAGAAACCCUGUCUCAAAAAAAAAAAAACAAAACAAAACAACAACAACAACAAAAAAAAAGACAGGGUUUCUCUGUGUAUCCCUGGCUGUCUUGGAAGUUUGCUCUGUAGACCAGGCUGGCCUCGUAAGAGGUUCACCUGCCU
rnacentral:lncRNA from 1 species